UGUUGUGUUCGGUUUGCAUCCAAGUCGUCCGGAGGGUGGCCAUGAUCUCUCAGUCUCAAGCCUGUAAUGCCAGCACUGGGGAAUCGGGUGCUUCUAGCUGGAGGGUCAGGAGAAGAUAUACAGUUGAGGCCCUUUGGCAAGAGAAACUCUGUAUUGUGUCUAACCAACGUGGAUACCCCGGGAGGUCACUCUCCCCGGGCUCUGUCCUGGUGGCGUAGGGGAGCAUAGGGCUCUGCCCCGUGAUGUACAGUCCCUUUCCACAACGUUGGAGAUGAAGCUGGGCUUCGAGUCUGCGCCUGCAUAUUCCUACGACUUCUCAGAGUCCUGUGGACGAUGACUGAGGAGACAAACCAUGCAGGAGACAGCCUUAAAUCUCGAAAUCUGGGAGUGGGCCUGACGUGUUUGUUUCUGAAGUUGCUUUAGAAUUUUACUUACUGAAAAAAAAAUGCUUUCUCUUGCAGAACUGACCAGUGAUUACAAGUAACUCUUUGGUUGAGGAAAGAAGAGGAUCUGCACAGCUACCUGCUGAAGGAUAACUUGAUGCUUGACUUUGGAGACUUGUAACUAUGUAGUUUGGCAAGGUUUUGUCUGUUUUUAUGGGUUCAACCCAGAGCAGUCAGUACUACGCAAGCACUUCUGCCUAGGUCUUCUCAGUCUGGUAAAUGUAUAUUGUAUAUAUUCAAGAGACCUUAUUGAUGUCUAGAACUUUAUAUUUGUGCCCCUUUUUGAGGUCCAUGUGGUGUGUGUAAAAUUGCCUAGGAUGUACAAGGCCCUGUUCCUUUCUGCACAGGGCCAUAUAAACCACAAGUGGUACUUCUUCAUGCCUAUAAUCACUGUAAUCACACUAGAUUCAAGUAAUUUCUAUUCCUGUAAUUGUGAUAUGCCUGACUAAACUGUUAAUAUUUAUGUGAAUUAAAGGAUUAAUAUUGAA